rnacentral:lncRNA from 1 species
GAGAUCCUUACUUGAUUCGAUGCCAAAAACUAGAUUGUUACUACGCUUACAGGCGGUCCCUAGAUUUCCUGAAUUUUUCAUUGGGAAUUGAAACGUGCUUAUGGUACCCACACAUGUCCCAAAUAACCCAAAAAUCAGACGCAGAGCUUACUUGGCCAAUUUUGGAAUUUCAGCUCGGCGGCUCCGCCGUGCUCCGGCGACGGCGCCGUCGCUUGCGGUGGCAAU